rnacentral:rRNA from 1 species
UGGGGAAUUUUGGACAAUGGGCGAAAGCCUGAUCCAGCAAUGCCGCGUGUGUGGAGAAGGCCUUCGGGUUGUAAAGCACUUUUGUCCGGAAAGAAAUCCUUGGCUCUAAUACAGUCGGGGGAUGACGGUACCGGAAGAAUAAGCACCGGCUAACUACGUGCCAGCAGCCGCGGUAAUACGUAGGGUGCAAGCGUUAAUCGGAAUUACUGGGCGUAAAGCGUGCGCAGGCGGUUUGCUAAGACCGAUGUGAAAUCCCCGGGCUCAACCUGGGAACUGCAUUGGUGACUGGCAGGCUAGAGUAUGGCAGAGGGGGGUAGAAUUCCACGUGUAGCAGUGAAAUGCGUAGAGAUGUGGAGAAUACCGAUGGCGAAGGCAGCCCCCUGGGCCAAUACUGACGCUCAUGCACGAAAGCGUGGGGAGCAAAACAGGAUUAGAUACCCUGGUAGUCCACGCCCUAAACGAUGUCAACUAGUUGUUGGGGAUUCAUUUCCUUAGUAACGUAGCUAACGCGUGAAGUUGACCGCCUGGGGAGUACGGUCGCAAGAUU